rnacentral:misc_RNA from 1 species
GUCAUUGAUAUGGUAAAAGUGGAUGAUGGAGAUCUUGGAGGGAAAGAUAAAAAAUGCUUUGGUGGGAUGUUUAAGGCUUCUAUGCUACCUUUUAGCAUUUCUAUCACCUUACUUAUAGAUGGUCUCUCUGAUGGAAUUGUUUGGAUGCACCACAGGCCAAUUAUUGUCAAUUUCCUAACAAUUUCAUUCUCUUCUAUGGAAUUCUCACCACACAAUUUAGAUUUAUUGCCUUGCUCAAGUUGU